rnacentral:lncRNA from 1 species
AUGGGUCAGGGAGUAUCCAUGGCCAAAGGUUGGUACCAUGAUGACAAGAAGGUGGCACUGACACCUGGAUGUUGCUGGCCCUUGAAAGCCAGCCUUCAGUCCCUCCCAGGCUACACAGUUGUCCUCGUGGCCCAGAAAACCUCUAAAGCAAAGAUGAUGUUGUACCAUUUGUCUGGACCCAACCAGAAUACUUCUAAGCCUAUCUUGGGGAGCAAGGGCAUUCUGGAGCAUGACAGGAAUGGUGCAUGUAGAAGCAAAGACCUGAACUGCCCAACUCAAGAGGCUCUAGACUGGAGUUGCACCCAGAUGGCUUCCAUGAUAGCAAUGAUCCUUGAGUCUUUCAUGCUCUAUAACCCAUGUCCUUCUAAAACAACCCCAGGGGCUCCAUGGUGGACUGCGUUCUUAUUCAAAAGUAUUCACUGCUCCUAUCUGGGGGAGGACGAUACUUUUCUAUCCCAUUGAUGGCAGGCUUGAUCUUGUGAUUUGUUCUUGGCUGUUAAAAUAUUCAAAGUGAUAAAUGUCACUUCUGGCCAGAAGCUUUAAGAGCCAACACAUGAGUUACUGUCUCCUUUCCCUCCAUAAUAAAACUGGCAAUACUCCAGACUGACCCUACCGCACCAACAUGAUCACAAAGAUGAUGGGGAGAGAAUUGUAGGUUACCCAUGAUGUUAAUGUGGUGUGGAUGAAAAAUAAAUCUUUCUGGUGUAGGUCAUUGGAUUUUGGAGUUGUUUGUUGACACAGCAAACCUGGCUCUUAUUAACUAACACAAUAUCCAACUACCUAGUAUCAUUUCAUAAAAGCAAAGAGUUUGCUGCUUUAAAAAGUCUUUUGAAAAUAUUUAGAUUGAAUAGCAUAUAUUUAAUCUGGCAUUUUAAAAGAGAUCCUGAUUUUAAAAAAACAGAAAUGUUGCUAGAUUGCUUUGGUCAAUGAAGUAAUCAUUUGUUAGACAGCUAAAAGUAACAGGUUUGGAGACCCCUAGUUUGGGGUCACAAACAUCAAGUCAAAAAGUACACAUGCAAACAGGGCUUGCUCUCAACCUUCCAGUCAAAAAACACGUGCUAAUUUUUUGCCCUUCUUAAAAAAUAUAUAAAUUUAUUUAUUUUAAUUGGAGGUUAAUUACUUUAA